rnacentral:rRNA from 1 species
UAAUACGGAGGAUCCAAGCGUUAUCCGGAUUUACUGGGUUUAAAGGGUGCGUAGGCGGAUUGAUAAGUCAGUGGUGAAAGCCUACAGCUUAACUGUAGAACUGCCAUUGAUACUGCCAGUCUGGAGUAUGGUUGAGGUAGCUGGAAUGUGUCAUGUAGCGGUGAAAUGCUUAGAGAUGACACAGAACACCAACGGCGAAGGCAGGUUACCAACCCAUUACUGACGCUGAGGCACGAAAGCGUGGGGAUCAAACAGGAUUAGAUACCCUGGUAGUCCACGCCGUAAACUAUGAUUACUCGUUGUUGGCGAUACAUUGCCAGUGACUGAGCGAAAGCAUUAAGUAAUCCACCUGGGGAGUACGUUCGCAAGAAUGAAACUUAAAGGAAUUGACGG